UACGUAGGGGGCAAGCGUUGUCCGGAAUUACUGGGCGUAAAGCGCGCGUAGGCGGGCUUGAAAGUUGAUUGUGAAAGCCCUGGGCUUAACCCGGGAAUGGCAGUCAAAACUUCAAGUCUUGAGUGCCUGAGAGGAUGGCGGAAUUCCCGGUGUAGUAGUGAAAUACGUAGAUAUCGGGAAGAACACCUGAGGCGAAGGCGGCUAUCUGGCGGUGCACUGACGCUGAGGCGCGAAAGCUCGGGGAGCGAACGGG
rnacentral:rRNA from 1 species